rfam:Ipomoea nil DNA, scaffold: scaffold1993, cultivar: Tokyo-kokei standard.
AUUAGAGUGGCGCAGCAGAAGAGUGGUGGGCCCAUAACCCAUAGGUCCUAGGAUUGAAACCUUGCUCUGAUA